rnacentral:rRNA from 1 species
CGGGGGGGUAAGCGUUGUUCGGAAUUACUGGGCGUAAAGGGCUCGUAGGCGGCCAACUAAGUCAUACGUGAAAUCCCUCAGCUUAACUGGGGAACUGCGUGUGAUACUGGAUGGCUUGGAUUUGGGAGAGGGAUGCGGAAUUCCAGGUGUAGCGGUGAAAUGCGUAGAUACCUGGAGGAACACCGGUGGCGAAGGCGGCAUCCUGGACCAAUAUUGACGCUGAGGAGCGAAAGCCAGGGGAGCAAACGGGAUUAGAUACCCCGGUAGUCCUGGCCCUAAACGAUGAAUGCUUGGUGUAGCGGUAUCGAUCCCUGCUGUGCCGAAGCUAACGCAUUAAGCAUUCCGCCUGGGGAGUACGGCCGCAAGGCUG